UACGAAGGGGGCUAGCGUUGUUCGGAAUUACUGGGCGUAAAGCGGGUGUAGGCGGAUCGCUAAGUCGGGGGUGAAAGCCCAGGGCUCAACCCUGGAAUUGCCUUCGAUACUGGCGGUCUCGAGUUCAGGAGAGGUGAGCUGAACUUCGAGUGUAGAGGUGAAAUUCGUAGAUAUUCGGAGGAACAACAGAGGAGAAGGCGGCUCUCUGGACUGAUACUGACGCUGAGACCCGAAAGGGUGGGGAGCAAACAGG
rnacentral:rRNA from 1 species